UUCAGUGCAGCAGAAAUUGAAUUUAAAUGUCGAAAGUACAAUAACCGACCGUCGGUCUAAAAAAUUAAGCGUUACUCAUAUUUUGAAUGUUUGAGUAGAUCGAGGAAGGUAGUUAUCUGGAAUUAAUAAAUUAAAUAUUUCGCAAUCUCCUUAUCGUUCGUCCGUGUCAUUCAUAAAUAAUCAAUGAGGCCGAGCUAGUUAUUUCUGAACCCUCAUGUGUCCGACCGCUGGGCAAUUGGAAACAGAUUAAAUCGUUUUUCUCUCGACCACAGAGGAUACUCCAGCAUUAUGAUAAUUGUUGCACUGGAGUCACUUGAGACUUUAGGCUUGUAACAAAAAUCACGUUAUUCGAGUUUCAUCGUUGUAACUCAACUCCACCCAACUGUAUACUCAAUAAGGGAAAGUUUGCCGAGUUUGAAGUUUCACUCUGGUUUUUUGAUGGAAAAGAUUUAUUGGAAUUUUUUUCAGACUUGACGUGCGUCAUAACUUGUUAUAAUUUGAUUGACAAGUUGGGUAUUUGUUUGUAAUUUUAUUAGGGACCGUUGAUUCCACACAACGGAAUUAAUAUUAGGCUUGUGUAAUGUUCGUGGGGAAAUAUUUCAAGGGCCCGACCUCCUCGAAAAUUCAGAUUGGGGGGUAAAUCAGUCACUUUAUAUUCAAAGACUAGGAAUUUGCUCUGUGAUGUGCUGCCCGAAAUAUUUAUCUUUGUUGAUGGAGGAAAAAAUGACGGGCACGUAGAUAACAGCCAUCAAUUGUUACGAGUGCUUUACUAGCUGGAGAGACUCUUCGUCGAUGGCUUUUGUUCCAAAUACGCAAACACAUCGACGAGGGCCAAAGCGGAAUAAUGAUUUUGUGCAUCAAACGGAACCGACACCAACAUUUUUCCCAAACACUCAAGCCACGGGGAUAAUUAUCCCUUAACAAGCUGGCGCAGAGAUUAGUUUUGUCGUUUGUUACAUCACAGUUUUGAUUGCUACAUGCAGAGAUAAAGUGCAGAGGAUGUAAUUAUGCAGAGGAGUCGUAAUAGUUCUGGUGUUGUUUGCAUUUGUAUGAAUUUACAUUUGAAUUAAUUGCUACCGUGCUGGAAAUUUUUAAUUGAGUGUGAGGCUUUCCGUUGUGAUUAUUCAAAAAUAGUUUAUUUUGACACAAUAAUAGAGCGGUUCAUUGUUCACGCGUCAGUUAAAAAAAUGAGUUUUUUUUUAAUAAAAUGGGUUACUGGCAGUCGAAAAGUUCGAUUAAAUGUGUGCCUGAGUCCGAUCCUGUGUGCGAUUGUGGUCAGUUUGCCCUCUGCUGGACUUUUAUUCCCUAUACGUGCAGCGGUGUCGCAGUUUGUGUCAGAUAAAACAACUUGGGCCAGCGCAUAUGUAAUUAUUGUAAUAAUCGUUACGAACUCUGUAUUGUUUUAUGGUUGUGAAAUAUAUUCCGGUUUCU